GCUGGUUGCACCCAAGAGCCAUCCCUGCCUGAGUUCGGUAACUGCCAGCACCACCAGCAAAGGAUUUCCCCCACCAUGUGCUUGCCCACACAAUAGAGGUUUCGCCUUUUAACCCUUUAACCCCUCCCAAGGGUUGACCCCUUCUUUGCUGUCCACUGCUGGAGAUCACUUCCUCAAAUAAGCCGACCCACCCAGACGUCCCAACCCCGGCUGUCUCUUGAUAACAACACGAGGAGAGAAAUCUAUCAAAAAGAAUCCUCACUGACUCCUUCUUUCACAGCGGGACGGGACAACAUGUCAACUGAGGUAAUAGAAGCUGCACCACUGGCUGCAGACACCUCAGCACAAAAGCAGAGGAACAAGGCCUGCAAAAGCUGCUUUCAGCAAGGACAGUUGGAAGAUAAGAAGAAGACAUCUGGCCCAAGAAUGCAGUUGUUAUAGAUGGGUAAUGUGAUGAUUUGCUCUCACAAUUAAAGUAUGAAUAUUGUAUGUAUGUCAAGAGAAGUUUUAUUGAUGUAUGGUUAUGUUAUUGUAGUUUGUUGUUUGGACACCCUCUGUUCUCUCCAUAGUCCCCUUUCCCCCCCUCUGUAUUGUUGCCACCGGACAGCCUUGACUGUCAGGGUUGUCAGGGACAUGUGGAGGGAAGGCAUGUACAUGUGCCCCUUACAUGGGGCAGUUGGGAAUGGGGAAAGCUUGUUGCUGGGGAGGUUUGGCAUGACAACACCUCACCUCCAAUCAAGUUGCAAGAAGGUCUCCACCAAUGGACAGCAAAGAAGAGUUGAAUAACAGACUUUGGGAGGGGCCAGGGUUGGCUGACGCAACACCAGGGGUAUAAAAAGUGGAGCAGCCAUUUUGUGGAUGAGCUUGUAGCAGUUGGUCAC